rnacentral:tRNA from 1 species
GGAAGGGUGGCCGAGCGGUUUAAGGCGCCGGUCUUGAAAACCGGUGUCCCGAGCAAUCGGGACCGUGGGUUCGAAUCCCACCCCUUCCG